rnacentral:rRNA from 1 species
GACGAACGCUGGCGGCGUGCUUAACACAUGCAAGUCGAACGAUGAAGGAGAGCUUGCUCUCCGGAUUAGUGGCGAACGGGUGAGUAACACGUGACUAACCUGCCCCUUUCUCUGGGAUAACGCUCCGAAAGGAGUGCUAAUACCGGAUACGAACUCUGAACACAUGUUCGGAGUCGGAAAGAUUUUCGGAAAGGGAUGGAGUCGCGGCCUAUCAGCUUGUUGGUGAGGUAACGGCUCACCAAGGCGACGACGGGUAGCCGGCCUGAGAGGGCGACCGGCCACACUGGGACUGAGACACGGCCCAGACUCCUACGGGAGGCAGCAGUGGGGAAUAUUGCACAAUGGGCGAAAGCCUGAUGCAGCGACGCCGCGUGAGGGAUGAAGGUCUUCGGAUUGUAAACCUCUUUCAGUAGGGACGAAGCGAAAGUGACGGUACCUAAAGAAGAAGCACCGGCUAACUACGUGCCAGCCGCCGCCGUAA